AACGAACGCUGGCGGCAUGCCUAACACAUGCAAGUCGAACGAGACCUUCGGGUCUAGUGGCGCACGGGUGCGUAACGCGUGGGAAUCUGCCCUUGGGUUCGGAAUAACAGUUAGAAUGACUGCUAAUACCGGAUAAUGUCUUCGGACCAAAGAUUUAUCGCCCAGGGAUGAGCCCGCGUAGGAUUAGCUAGUUGGUGAGGUAAAGGCUCACCAAGGCGACGAUCCUUAGCUGGUCUGAGAGGAUGAUCAGCCACACUGGGACUGAGACACGGCCCAGACUCCUACGGGAGGCAGCAGUGGGGAAUAUUGGACAAUGGGCGAAAGCCUGAUCCAGCAAUGCCGCGUGAGUGAUGAAGGCCUUAGGUUGUAAAGCUCUUUUACCCGGGAUGAUAAUGACAGUACCGGGAGAAUAAGCCCCGGCUAACUCCCGUGCCCAGCAGCCGCGGUAAU
rnacentral:rRNA from 1 species